AUUGAACGCUCGCGGGAUGCUUUACACAUGCAAGUCGAACGGCAGCGCGGACUUCGGUCUGGCGGCGAGUGGCGAACGGGUGAGUAAUGUAUCGGAACGUGCCCAGUAGCGGGGGAUAACUACGCGAAAGCGUAGCUAAUACCGCAUACGCCCUGCGGGGGAAAGCAGGGGAUCGUAAGACCUUGCACUAUUGGAGCGGCCGAUAUCGGAUUAGCUAGUUGGUGAGGUAACGGCUCACCAAGGCGACGAUCCGUAGCUGGUUUGAGAGGACGACCAGCCACACUGGGACUGAGACACGGCCCAGACUCCUACGGGAGGCAGCAGUGGGGAAUUUUGGACAAUGGGGGCAACCCUGAUCCAGCCAUCCCGCGUGUGCGAUGAAGGCCUUCGGGUUGUAAAGCACUUUUGGCAGGAAAGAAACGUCGCGGGCUAAUACCCCGUGGAACUGACGGUACCUGCAGAAUAAGCACCGGCUAACUACGUG
rnacentral:rRNA from 1 species